AAGUCGAGGGGCAGCGGGAAUUGAGCUUGCUCAAUUUGCCGGCGACCGGCGCACGGGUGCGUAACGCGUAUGUAACCUACCCUGAACUGGGGAAUAACACUGAGAAAUCGGUACUAAUACCCCAUAAUACACUGGAAGGCAUCUUUUGGUGUUGAAAGCUCCGGCGGUUCAAGAUGGACAUGCGUUGUAUUAGCUAGUUGGUGAGGUAACGGCUCACCAAGGCGACGAUACAUAGGGGGACUGAGAGGUUAACCCCCACAUUGGUACUGAGACACGGACCAAACUCC
rnacentral:rRNA from 1 species